rnacentral:rRNA from 1 species
GUGAGGAAUAUUGGUCAAUGGGCGAGAGCCUGAACCAGCCAAGUCGCGUGAAGGAAGAAGGAUCUAUGGUUCGUAAACUUCUUUUGCAGGGGAAUAAAGUGCGGGACGUGUCCUGUUUUGUAUGUACCCUGAGAAUAAGGAUCGGCUAACUCCGUGCCAGCAGCCGCGGUAAUACGGAGGAUCCGAGCGUUAUCCGGAGUUAUUGGGUUUAAAGGGUGCGUAGGUGGUUUGAUAAGUCAGCGGUGAAAGUUUGCAGCUUAACUGUAAAAAUGCCGUUGAAACUGUCGGACUUGAGUGUAAAUGAGGUAGGCGGAAUGCGUGGUGUAGCGGUGAAAUGCAUAGAUAUCACGCAGAACUCCGAUUGCGAAGGCAGCUUACUAAGCUACAACUGACACUGAAGCACGAAAGCGUGGGGAUCAAACAGGAUUAGAUACCCCGGAAGUCC